rnacentral:rRNA from 1 species
GGGCCCGCACAAGCGGUGGAGCAUGUGGUUUAAUUCGAUGCAACGCGAAGAACCUUACCAGGGCUUGACAUACUACGAAUUCUUUUGAAAAAAAGAAGUGCCUUCGGGAAUGUAGAUACAGGUGGUGCAUGGCUGUCGUCAGCUCGUGUCGUGAGAUGUUGGGUUAAGUCCCGCAACGAGCGCAACCCUUAUUUUUAGUUACCAAUUCGUUGGGUUCUUUAGAAAGACUGCCGGUGACAAACCGGGAAGGUGAGGAUGACGUCAAGUCAGCAUGCCCCUUAUGUCCUGGGCUACACACGUGCUACAAUGGUUAAGACAAAGAGUCGCGAGCCUGCAAAGGUCAGCUAAUCUCAUAAACUUAGCCCCAGUUCAGAUUGUAGGCUGCAACUCGCCUACAUGAAGUUGGAAUC